UACAGAGGUGGCGAGCGUUGUUCGGAUUUAUUGGGCGUAAAGGGUCCGUAGGCGGUUUGGAAAGUCGGAUGUGAAAUCCCACAGCUCAACUGUGGAACUGCAUUCGAAACUUCCAGACUGGAGUGUGAGAGGGGUAAAGGGAAUUCCCGGUGUAAGGGUGAAAUCUGCAGAGAUCGGGAAGAACACCAGUCGCGAAGGCGCUUUACUGGCUCACAACUGACGCUGAGGGACGAAAGCUAGGGGAGCAAACGGG
rnacentral:rRNA from 1 species